GAACGGGUGAGUAACACGUGGGCAAUCUGCCCUUCACUCUGGGACAAGCCCUGGAAACGGGGUCUAAUACCGGAUAACACUCUGUCCCGCAUGGGACGGGGUUAAAAGCUCCGGCGGUGAAGGAUGAGCCCGCGGCCUAUCAGCUUGUUGGUGGGGUAAUGGCCUACCAAGGCGACGACGGGUAGCCGGCCUGAGAGGGCGACCGGCCACACUGGGACUGAGACACGGCCCAAACUCCUACGGGAGGCAGCAGUGGGGAAUAUUGCACAAUGGGCGAAAGCCUGAUGCAGCGACGCCGCGUGAGGGAUGACGGCCUUCGGGUUGUAAACCUCUUUCAGCAGGGAAGAAGCGAAAGUGACGGUACCUGCAGAAGAAGCGCCGGCUAACUACGUGCCAGCAGCCGCGGUAAUACGUAGGGCGCAAGCGUUGUCCGGAAUUAUUGGGCGUAAAGAGCUCGUAGGCGGCUUGUCACGUCGGAUGUGAAAGCCCGGGGCUUAACCCCGGGUCUGCAUUCGAUACGGGCUAGCUAGAGUGUGGUAGGGGAGAUCGGAAUUCCUGGUGUAGCGGUGAAAUGCGCAGAUAUCAGGAGGAACACCGGUGGCGAAGGCGGAUCUCUGGGCCAUUACUGACGCUGAGGAGCGAAAGCGUGGGGAGCGAACAGGAUUAGAUACCCUGGUAGUCCACGCCGUAAACGUUGGGAACUAGGUG
rnacentral:rRNA from 1 species